UCCACCAGGAGAGAUUUUGUCAGACAGGCAUGUGGAAGUUCUUCCACAUGCCUGUCUGACAAAAUCUCUCCUUUAGUAA
rnacentral:miRNA from 1 species